GCUGGUGUAGGGGAGUUCACAACAAGGGGGCAUAACCUUGAAAAUUCGCGCUUGGCUGCAGGAAGCCUGUUUUGACAGUAAGGGGAGUGGAAAUCUAGAAAAGGCUGCUGCUGCUGGACAUGCACGCUACACCGCUGUCGACAACAGGAAAGAAAACAGGAGGACCCACCAGCCUCUCCGCUCCAGGUCUUCAUGAAGGAACUGGAAUGGUUCUUGACUGGGACAGAGAUUGUAUCGUGUAGAAGUAUGGCAGAGUCUUUCGCAUGCAUCUCAAUGAAACCUGAGUAACGUCUCAUCUGAAUGGCAGCAAUUCCCCAAGUCCUGGAGUGUCAGCCGAGAUUUUUGUAAUUGAGCCUCUGGAAAUGGUCUUGAAUCCACAAACUUUGAGUUUCUAGGCCAUGCUUUGCUGCAUUCUAAUUGUUUUCAAGAGGCGAAUUAACCGGUGGGAAGCGUACACGUCUCCCGUUUUAUUCAUCGAAAGAGCGGCGCUGAGCAAAGAAGUUGCCUGAAAAAUAAUCUUUCUGCCUUGUCACAUUUCUGUUUAGGAUGCAAACACAUUUGAAAUUAGAUUUGGUGUAAUAUCUAGACGCAUGAGAAAAUUAGGAAAGAAGUGUUACGACCCUGCUGGUUUUUAUAUUUAACCCCGACUAUAUCCAACUUUGUCAUCCACUGAUUAUGCGAUUCACUCUUUUCAUGGUGUAAAUAUCAGAAAGCAUCAUUUGAGUCACUUCUUCAGAGUUCUGGAGCCGUGGCUACCGCCCCACUUCCUAUGGAAUGAAUUCAGCAUUUAUUCGGCAAUCGUACCUCUCUCACAGAUACAUACAAUAUCUCGGAAAAGGCAGUGCGAUAAGUCACCCACAGUAAAUGGAAAAGCCUCUUUCUUUUAAGGUGAUAUCAGAACGUUUAUAAAUUAGCGUUUUAGCGAACUCAAAUAACCUUUUUGCUCGAACCCUAGAAAUGCUAUGAUCAAUUACUUAAUGCAAAAGUUGAAUUAAUCUAAGUCAUCACGACCAGAAAAUAAAGUGACAUAAGAAUCCAAGGGAAACCAACAUUAACCGGGCAGUAGCGUGAAAUGGAUGAUGUCAAGAUGACUUUAACAAACUAGCGUGAUUUCAAGCCAGCAUCACACCCGAUUUUGCCAUUUCAUCGGCCGCCAAGUUUAAUUUACCAGGACACUGCCCAUUUCAUGCUACUGCCUAAGAGAGAUUACUGUUACUGAAGCGCUAUCGUUUUAGAUCUCAGGUCAGCGUUUGUGGAGGAUGAUACAGAACUGGAAGAGCCCCAGUUCGGCUGCCCACUUUCAAAAUGUAGCUUUACAUUGUGCGAUAGGCGUAAUGAAUCUUAUAUGGAAGCUGAGGCCGGCAGGAUACAACUUCUGGCGGAUCUCGCAUUUGUACGAAAUGUUACUCCAAUCGCCUUAUAAAGUCAUUUUCAUCAUUAUAAAACCACGAUCUCUCUGUCGUUAAAAUACACCCCACACCCACCCCGCUCCUCAGCAGUCUGCUUAAGCGGACACAGGGCAAUGUUAGCGAUAACGAAUAAGAUUUUUCGCAAUAAGGGCAGUUAUCUGGUCCUGGACAUCCAUAAAACAAUUUUUCAAGUCAGGCGGAUAAGAGGCUGAGACAAGUUAUGAGUUCUCUGUCUAAACAACCAACACGGAUGAAAGUGACAAGAUGUCCUCUCGAGAGAUAAACAGAGGUGAUUUAAUGGGACCUGAGCCAGGUUGGGAUGAUCUGCCUUGAACAAUGGAGCGAUUGAUGUGAAAUAUCGGCGCAUAAAAGGAGGUAUUAUACAGGCAGUCCAGAAAGUCGAAAGUGCCCGAAAUAUUUAGCAGGUCAGGCAGCAUCCAUGGAGGAAAAAGCAAAAUUAUGUUUUUAGGUCUGUGGCCUUUCACCCGCAAGAACCACAGGCCUGAUGCUGCUGAGUAUUUCUAGCAUUUUCAGCUUUUAUUUCAGCUUUCCAGCAUCUGCAGUAUUUUUUACUUUCGAAGUUAAGAGUGGAGGGCGGGUGGACGAAGGGAAGGGGUUCUGCUGGUGUCAAUUCUUUCUGCUAAGAAGCCUGAUCAGGCUAACGGCGUGGAUGUGAUCGUCACCGUAGUCAGCAGAGGCCAGGCCGUUCUAUCCACCCGAUCCGGGGAUGGUAAACCUUCUCAUCCGGAUGGGAAUUCUACUCUGAUUAUGUGCUGUAUUUUUACCGUCGUUCUCAAUAAAACUUUUUAAACUGC